CUUGUGCUAUCUUUAUGACACCAAGGAAUCUUGUGCUAUCUUUAUGAGCUUGGUCUCAUAAAGAUAGCACAAGAUUCCUUGGUCUCAUAAAGAUAACAC
rnacentral:pre_miRNA from 1 species